UGGUUACCUUGGUUUUGCCCUGUGUCAUGGAGAUCCUGCAGCUUUGGCUCAGCUGGAUGAACCAUUUCACAUUCACCAACCAUUUACAGGUUACGUAGAUUUUGGGGUGAGUGAUCAACCCGAUGGCUCUCCCUUAUCAGCAUCACCAGCACAAGCUCUCCCACACUGCUCUGGCUAGGCCACCCAAUGCCACCAUGUACAGGAGGCAGGAUCAGCUCUGUUGCUCUCUUGCCCUUAGGGCCAGCACAUGCCCAUGCUUCCAGAGCCAACUUCACUGUGCUGCAGCCACUGCAGACCUGGGCCAGCUCUCUCACUCUCACAACCUGGGGCUGAUUCACCUGUGCCUGCCUUCGACAUCAAGACCAGCACUUGCCAUACUGGGGUCACUAAGGAUGAGAGAGAAGCCUAACCAAAGUAAAAGAAGAGGAAACACAAGAAAAAUCACCUGGUGCGGAGCUCCAAUUCCUACUUUACAGAUGUGAAAUGCCCAGGCUGCAAUAAAAUCACCACAGUCUUUAGCCAUGCACAGACCGUCAUUAUACUGGUUGGUUUUGUGUGUCAACUUGACACAAGUUGGAGUUAUCACAGAGAAAGGAGCUUCUGUUGAGGAAAUGUCUCCAUGAGAUCCAGCUGUGGGGAAUUUUCUUAGUGAUCAAGCAGGGAGGGCCCAUUUUGGAUGGUUUCAUCUCUGGUCUUGGGUUCUAUAAGAAAGCAUGCUGAGCAAGCCAGGAGAAGCAAGCAAGCCAGUAAGAAACAUCCCUUGAUGGCCUCUGCAUCAGCUCCUG
rnacentral:lncRNA from 1 species